rnacentral:rRNA from 1 species
UACGUAGGGACCGAGCGUUGUCCGGAUUCAUUGGGCGUAAAGAGCUCGUAGGCGGCUGCUCAAGUCGAAUGUGAAAACUCGAGGCUCAACCUCGAGCCUGCAUUCGAUACUGGGCGGCUAGAGUCUGGUAGGGGGAUCUGGAAUUCCUGGUGUAGCGGUGGAAUGCGCAGAUAUCAGGAGGAACACCGGUGGCGAAGGCGGGUCUCUGGGCCGUAACUGACGCUGAGGAGCGAAAGCGUGGGGAGCGAACAGG